rnacentral:rRNA from 1 species
AGGAUAAACGCUGGCGGCGUGCCUAACACAUGCAAGUCGAACGUCUCUUCUUUCGGGAAGAGGAGUGGCGGACGGGUGAGGAACACGUGGGAACCUGCCCUUUAGUGAGGAAUACCGGCGAGAAAUCGCCGACAAGACCGCAUAGCCCUCUUUGAUGAGAGUCAAAGAAGGAAAGCUUCGCAAGAGGCGCUAGAGGAGGGGCCUGCGUCCGAUUAGCUAGUUGGUGGGGUAAGAGCCUACCAAGGCGUCGAUCGGUAGCUGGUCUGAGAGGACGAUCAGCCACACUGGGAUUGAGAACGGCCCAGACUCCUACGGGGGCAGCAGUGAGGAAUUUUCGGCAAUGGGGGAAACCCUGACCGAGCAACGCCGCGUGCAGGAAGACGGCCUUGGUUGUAAACUGCUUUCUCGGGACGAGCAAGGACGGUACCCGAGGAAGAAGCCCGGCUAACUACGUGCCAGCAGCCGC